AGAAAAAUACCUAACAGGCUGCAAGCACUUGAUGGAUAUGAGGUAUAUUCAUAUUUUAUUAGUAUCAAUUUGAUAAAUAUUUUUUUGUUAUUUUGAAUGGUUCAUUAGUGUGUGUUAGAUUUGCCAUACUAUGUUAACUGAAGAGCUCAUUGACUGCUUUGCUUCACUCGGGUUCACCUCACUACAAAUAUAUGGCUAUUAAUCCAUAUAUAUUUAUCUAUUUAAUGUAAACACAAAAUUAUACGGUAAGACAGUCCCGUGGAAGUAUUUUUAUUCAUCACUUUCUGUACGUUUAUUAAUCAUCUAUCCAGUUGCAGAAUAGAAGUUAACACUUUUUUUGUUUUAUGUUUUUUUUAUUGAAAUAGGUAUGAACAAUGCUGGAGAUUGGCUUCUAGCUACUCUUUUGCUGGAAGAAUUUGAAGCGCCCGAUGUCGGCUGAUCUCACGCAUGUGAUGUGACCAAUGAAGAUUAGUAUGCAUAGAUCACUUUUGUAGACAUUAAUAAUAAUGGGUUUAAUGAAGCACUUGAACAUGCAUGAUGGAUUUGAAGUUGGGGGUUACACUUCUUCACAUGGCUAGGAUGACUCUAUUAAUCCCAUACCAGUGUGUAGCCAACACAUGUUAAGAAAAGAACAACACCGGAAUCAAGUCGCUUACUUGCUUAUAUGAAUGUGGAAAAACUUGCGAAUCAGUAAUGGGUCAACACGGCUAAAUUUGAAGUGCAAGUUAAAACAGGUUGGGUUGGUUCAGGUCGGGUCAUGACUUGCGAAUACGUCAUGGAUAUUAGUUACUAAAAUAUGUGAUUUAAAUAUGAUUUAACAAACUAUGCUAUCAAAACAUUAACCUAUUUUUUCUAAUAAAUCAGUUUAGAAUGUUUUAAGCAUUUGAAUAACCUUUUGGGCGACUUUUGACCCCCUUCUUUUUUAAUUCGACCCGUUUAAGAUAAUGCAUAACCAAAUAGUAUCCAUUUUAGGUAAACGGGUCAAAACUGCCACCUAUGGGUUUAGGGUAUUUAAUGACUUAAGUUGUGCUGUUGAAUGCUGGGAGUUUGUAGGCUGCGUACGAUGCAUCGGGAUUUUGUCGUUUUGUCGCCUUCCGAAGUUCAGCAGAUGGGUGAAGAGGGAAUGCAAUUUCUAAACAGCAAUGCAGCAAUACAGGCUAGGAUGAAUGGUGGUCCGAUAUCAGAGAACAGACCCCGCAUUUGGGUUGGCCUUACAUGAACUGAACCGGUCUGAAGUCUGAACCAUCAUGGAUCAAUUGCAUGCAGUGGCCAGAUCACAGCUAGCAAGAUGAGUCUUGGUAUGGUAAUGUGUUAUAUUAGUGAGGAAACAACCCAUUAUUGUAGAUGUAAUGAAGAAUUAUAUUGACAUUUUAAAUGUUGUAUUAAUCAAUCUCUUGAGCAAAGUACUCGUCAUCUUCGAAUUUGUAAUGUAUAAUAACAC